rnacentral:misc_RNA from 1 species
UCUCCGUAGGUGAACCUGCGGAGGGAUCAUUACAGAGUUCAUGCCCUACCGGGUAGAUCUCCCACCCUAUGUUAUUAUUACUUUGUUGCUUUGGCGGGCCGUUAGGCUCCGGCCCGACUACCGGCCCCGGCUGGUAAGCGCCCGCCAGAGGACCCAAAACCCUGAAUAUUAGUGUCGUCUGAGUACUAUAUAAUAGUUAAAACUUUCAACAACGGAUCUCUUGGUUCUGGCAUCGAUGAAGAACGCAGGC